GUGCGAGGGCGCGCGUGGACGUGCUUCUCUCCGCUGUUGCUGCGCACGCGAGUGGUGCCGUGGCGGUUCCUGGGCGCGUGUCUCGUUUCUCUUCCCUUCCCGCCCUUUUCAGGGGCGCGAGGCGCUGCUGAGGAGAGCAGCAGGCGGUCGCGCUGCGCUGACUCCCGAGCCUUGCUUCGAGUGUACUUCUGCGGGGUUUCUUUCAGUAAAAUUAACAGAGAACAGACUUUUCCCUCCUGCCCCUUCGUUUUCAGCUGUCUACUUGCUGUUCCCUCGCAGCGCUCGCAGGUCAUGAAUCCAUGAGGCACCACAACAAGAGAAGAUAACCAUGAAACCCCUUAGAGAUGGAAAUGUCAUUGUUUCUAGGCCUUGUUUCUGUUGCUGUUACAAGUCAGACUGCUGCCAAGUGGUAUAUAAGCAAUCCAGGUGCUGGGAGAGAAGCAGCUUACAUCACCAGAGCAACCUCAGUGUCCAAAGUGGAAGAACCCAAGGGAGAAUUUGUAUCACAAGGUGACCUUGAGGAACAACAAGCAUUGUGGAAAAAAAAGGUUGAAGAUUUAUCAAUGCCAAAAGCAGAUGCUUCCACCACCUUCCCAAAAGCACCGUGACCCAGUGUUUUACCUAGAGAAGCAAGAGUCAAGAAUGAGCCAAAGGGGGCUUUAAACAGUCUGCAUCAGGUAAGAGGGAAUCAUGCAUUCUCAGCUGUGCAAGAAAUACAAGGCUCCAGCACCCAGGCACAACGUAGACUGACAGUCGACAGAAGCCUGUAUCACAUAUUUGCAGUAUAUGGAUAUAAACAGUAUGAUUUAUAUCCAUAUGACUUUAAUGCAAUACAGAAUGUGAUAGAACAGAGUAGAAUAAAUAAAUCUGUAUUCAGCUGAAGGCAAGGCUGAAUACAUAUAUAUAUGGCUUAAGGGUAAAAACAGUAUAUCCUCAAGCCCUGGAAAAUCAGGUUAAAUGUGGAAUUGUGGAACCCUGCUCUCUCAUGAAUCACAGUCAUGGAGAUGGCCUGCUAAGGUACUCAGACAGCCAGAACCCUUUGACCCUUUAGUUAUUGACUUUUACUUGAAGUAAAAACUACAUUAAAUGGAAUUUCAGGUGAUCAUCUUUCAUAGCUUCACUUUCAUUUGAAUUUUCAGGCCCAUACCACCUAGUGUGCUCUGAGGGCUCUGACACGUAAUGCAGUAGGGUACACUGGGCAUCGUGGUAUGGCUCUUUCAUUCUGCCAGUUUGAGCCCAUGUCCCACCACCUUCUCAUUUUCGUUGUUUUGUUUUGUUUGGUCUGUCCUCCCAUUUCUUCUCCAUUAUCCAGCUUAAUCACCAAUCACACACACAUGCACAUAUAUUCCCUGCACUCAUUGUUGCACACAGAUGUUGCUGUUUCUCUAAGCAAAC
rnacentral:lncRNA from 1 species